UACAGAGGUCUCAAGCGUUGUUCGGAUUCAUUGGGCGUAAAGGGUGCGUAGGCGGCGCGGUAAGUCGGGUGUGAAAUCUCGAAGCUUAACUCCGAAACUGCAUUCGAUACUGCCGUGCUUGAGGACUGGAGAGGAGACUGGAAUUUACGGUGUAGCGGUGAAAUGCGUAGAUAUCGUAAGGAAGACCAGUGGCGAAGGCGGGUCUCUGGACAGUUCCUGACGCUGAGGCACGAAGGUCAGGGGGAGCAAAACGGG
rnacentral:rRNA from 1 species